rnacentral:ncRNA from 1 species
GCGUUUUCGCACCAAAAGUGUGAAGCGCCUAAGCGGGGAAAUCAGUCCUCUGGACUGCUUUCCGACCCCGCUUCGAUGCGUCGGAUAAUGCGUAAAAACAAAGGAAUAGAGUGGUUCCGGUGGUUGCUUUGAAACAGGAACCGCUCUCGUAACGUAAAUGGAAGUGCUGCAAAAACGCGGCGUUUUUUGCGAAGGAACGAUAGCGGGC